GACGAACGCUGGCGGCGUGCUUAACACAUGCAAGUCGAACGAUGAAGCUAGAGCUUGCUCUGGUGAAUUAGUGGCGAACGGGUGAGUAACACGUGAGUAACCUGCCCCGAACUCUGGGAUAACUGCUGGAAACGGUAGCUAAUACUGGAUACGACCUACGAGGGCAUCUUCUGUAGGUGGAAAGAAUUUCGGUUCGGGAUGGACUCGCGGCCUAUCAGCUUGUUGGUGAGGUAAUGGCUCACCAAGGCGACGACGGGUAGCCGGCCUGAGAGGGUGACCAGCCACCCUGGGACUGAGGCACGGCCCAGACUCCUACGGGAGGCAGGAGUGGGGGAUAUUGCACAAUGGGCGCAAGCCUGAUGCAGCAACGCCGCGUGGGGGAUGACGGCCUUCGGGUUGUAAACCUCUUUUAGUAGGGAAGAAGCGAAAGUGACGGUACCUGCAGAAAAAGCAUCGGCUAACUACGUGCCAGCAGCCGCGGUAA
rnacentral:rRNA from 1 species